rnacentral:rRNA from 1 species
UACGUAGGUGGCAAGCGUUAUCCGGAAUUAUUGGGCGUAAAGCGCGCGCAGGUGGUUUCUUAAGUCUGAUGUGAAAGCCCACGGCUCAACCGUGGAGGGUCAUUGGAAACUGGGGGACUUGAGUGCAGAAGAGGAAAGCGGAAUUCCACGUGUAGCGGUGAAAUGCGUAGAGAUGUGGAGGAACACCAGUGGCGAAGGCGGCUUUCUGGUCUGUAACUGACGCUGAGGCGCGAAAGCGUGGGGAGCAAACAGG